CUUUCAAAUGGCGGAGAGGAGAUAGUGAACCCUGAGGAUGUCUGGAAUGGCGUACCCGAGUUGGAUAAGAGUCCACCUGGGGUUAUAUUCCAAACAGUGGGAAAAGAUCUUUACAUCAUGACAUUGGAUAGUACUGCCCUUAAAGAAAAGGGGUCUGAAGGUGAUGGAGAUUUAACGGUGGAGCCAUAGAUGUGGCCAGUGAGAAACUGCUCUUAAGCAAGUGGACUCUUAUCCAGACCAACAGAGUAUUUGAGAAAACUAAGAGCAUGUAAUCACAAGAAGUUGUCAUUUUUUAAAACUUUGAUGUGUCAGAAACAAA